rnacentral:rRNA from 1 species
CCUACGGGAGGCUGCAGUGAGGAAUAUUGGUCAAUGGACGGAAGUCUGAACCAGCCAUGCCGCGUGCAGGAAGACGGCUCUAUGAGUUGUAAACUGCUUUUGUACAAGGGUAAACCUGAAUACGUGUAUUCAGCUGAAAGUACUGUACGAAUAAGGAUCGGCUAACUCCGUGCCAGCAGCCGCGGUAAUACGGAGGAUCCAAGCGUUAUCCGGAUUUAUUGGGUUUAAAGGGUGCGUAGGCGGAUUGAUAAGUUAGAGGUGAAAUGUCCGAGCUUAACUCGGGAACUGCCUCUAAUACUGUUGAUCUAGAGAGUAGAUGCGGUAGGCGGAAUGUAUGGUGUAGCGGUGAAAGGCUUAGAGAUCAUACAGAACACCGAUUGCGAAGGCAGCUUACCAAUCUAUAUCUGACGUUGAUGCUCGAAAGUGUGGGUAUCAAACAGGAUUAGAUACCCCUGUAGUC